rnacentral:lncRNA from 1 species
AUUUUACAAAAUGUAGUAGAUAUGAGAAAAUUAAGCCCUGCAAAGGAUUGAGUUCGGCAAAUCGGGGGAAAAUGAAGUUGAUUUAUUUAGAGGACUGAAAAAUCCUACAUACAUAGUGGAGUUUUCUAGAAUCUUGUACAGUAGUAUCUUUAAUAUUUGUUGUAUUUAAGAAAUGUGUAGAUGUUUUAAGAAGUUAAAUAUUUAGUAAUUCAUAGACUAGUUCUAGAUUCUUGUUAAAUAGGUAGAACAUAAAGCUAUUGAGAUUAUUCUCAUGAAAGUAUGUAGAAUCAUCCCUACACAAGUAUAAAUAGGGUUGGCUUUAGUUAUUUGUAAGUAAUCCAAAAUCAAUCCUAUUCAAGAAAUCUUCUUCUAUAUCCAAGUUCUCUUAUCUAAAAUUUUCCUCCUCUUUUCAUUGUUUUUUCUUCUUUAAUUGAAUCUUUAAAUCUUAGUUAAUGAUCUUGGGCCAGAAGAAUGUCUCCCAGUUAUAUCUUUCUUCUACUAUUCUCUACAACUAUAACUUUGAAUUUUAACGAACUAGGACUGAAACUCAAUAUGAAACUAGCUCAGUUGCCUUGACUACUCAGACUUCGCCAAGGCUUACAUCCUCGCAAAGCUGCAUCUACUCCAUACUUCCCAUAUACUAUUUAAAAUUAUGCUUGUUGACCUUUAAUGGGGCAUAUCCAUCUCAUUUAAGCUCAAUUUCACCAUACAAAAAUGCUCUAACCACGGUGAAUAGUCCAUA